UACGUAGGGGGCAAGCGUUGUCCGGAAUCAUUGGGCGUAAAGAGCGUGUAGGCGGCCCGAUAAGUCCGCUGUGAAAGUCCAGGGCUCAACCCUGGGAUGCCGGUGGAUACUGUCGGGCUCGAGUCCGGAAGAGGAGUGUGAAUUCCUGGUGUAGCGGUGAAAUGCGCAGAUAUCAGGAGGAACACCAAUGGCGAAGGCAGCACUCUGGGACGUGACUGACGCUGAGACGCGAAAGCGUGGGGAGCAAACAGG
rnacentral:rRNA from 1 species